UACAGAGGGUGCGGGCGUGUUCGGAAUUACUGGGCGUAAAGCGCGCGUAGGUGGUCUUUUAAGUCUGACGGUGAAAUGCCGGGGCUCAACCCCGUGCCCGCCGCGGAUACUGGGAGGCUGGAGACGAGUAGAGGCAAGCGGAAUUCCGGGUGUAGCGGUGGAAUGGCGUAGAGAUCCGGAAGAACACCGGAGGCGAAGGCGGUUCUCUGGGCGAUUGACCUGACGCUGGAGGAGCGAAAGCAUGGGGAGCGAACAGG
rnacentral:rRNA from 1 species